CCUCCUCUCCUCCCUAAUUUGAUCUCAUCUUCGUGCUCCGCCACCGGACUCCAGUCCUCCAAGUCUCCAACCUCUCCUCUCCUCUCCUCUCGGCCUGACCAUCACAAUGAAGAAGGGUAAAUUGAACCCAUCGAAGCGGGGCUCAACUGGUCGUGGUGCUGCGAUCAGUGCAAUGGACAAAUCGUCCUCAUCUUCUCAGGUAUUUUUUUUUCUUUUCGGAAUGUCCUCAUCUUCUCUAUUGUAUAUAAACUUUGGAAAAUCAUAAGUAUUUGUAGAGAAAUCAUUUUGCUGCGAUUCCAAUUCUCAAAUAAUCUUUAGGUUGUCUAUUACAAUUGUUAUGAAGAGACCAACUUGAAAUUUUUAGCCGAGCUAUACUGUUUUUAGCCAAAAAGGUCUGCUGGUCAGGAAGACAGGAACUCAGGAAGUUAGCAGUUUUUCUCUACUGUAUAGGAAUUUUGGAAAAUAAUAAGUAUUUGUAGAAAAUUCUUUUUACUGCGAUUCCAGUUCUCAAAUAAUCUUUAGGUUGUCUGUUACAAUUGUUGUGAAGAGACCAACUUGAAAUUCUUAGCCGAGCUAUACUGUUUUUAACCAAAAAUGUCUGCUGGUUAGGAACUCAGGAAGUUAGCAGUUUUUUUCUACUGUAUAUGAACUUUGGAAAAUCAUAAGUAUUUGUAGAAAAAUUCUUUUGCUGCGAUUCCAGUUCUCAAAUAAUGUUUAGGUUGUCUGUUACAAUUGUUAUGAAGAGACCAACCUGAAAUUCUUAGCCGAGAUAUACUGUGUUUAGCCAAAAAAGGUCUGCUGGUCAGGAACUCAGGAAGUUAGCAGUUUUUCUCUACUGUAUACGAACUUUGGAAAAUCAUAAGUAUUUGUAGAAUAACCCUUUUGCUGCGAUUCUAGUUCUCAAAUAAUCUUUAGGUUGUUUGUUACAAUUGUUAUGAAGAGACCAACCUGAAAUUCUUAGCCGAGCUAUACUGUUUUUAGCCAAAAAG
rnacentral:lncRNA from 1 species